rnacentral:lncRNA from 1 species
UCUUCGUCGCCAUGAAAGCUGAGGCUGUAAAACUACUCUGACAGUGAAUUCUUCUCGUAAUCAAUGUGUACAUAGGUUAUAGCAAUAUUUUUCUUCCUAGUAUUUUUCAGAAAUAUUGAGAGUUUCCUUAAAUCAUCAUUUAGCUAUCCUGUGACGACCUGUGAACACUUCCAGCUUCACUAUUUUUGUACGGCGAUUGUCAGCAUCAGUGCACAUGCUCUGCAAGAAUGUAAACCGGUCAGGGAAAUCGAAGGAACUGCGCACUAAAUACACGAACAUGGCUUCACGAUCAAGUGCAUCCCUCUCAUGAAAAAGAACUUUGAGGCGACCAGGCGCUCGACCUGUAAUGGGUGGUGUCCACACGCUGCAAAAAUUGGAGGUAAAGGCUGUCACGUGGAUCUCUGGUGGUACUAAUACAAUUCGCCCUUUCUACACAACACAUUAAAAUGACCGUAAGUUGCAAAGAAAAUGUAACAUCAGUACGGUGUUUUAAAACUACAAUAAAUACAGAAACAACAUCUGUUGGCAGCAACAACGAAAUACCGCAGGAAAUUCAAAUGGCAAAGCAGGCAUGUUUGUAUGUAGACAAAAGGCAGCAAGUUUCAUUACUCUCUGCUAAAUGACCACAUGUAAAUAAAUAAAUAAAUUAGUUAAU